UUGAUACAUUCAACACCUUGGACGGAUCUCAAGGGCAUUAUGCUGGGUGGAAAAAGAGCCAAUCUCAAAGGUUACAAACUGUGUGAUUCCAUUUAUAUAACUUUCUCUAAAUGACACGAUUAUAGAGAUGGAGAACAGC